rnacentral:tRNA from 1 species
CAAAGUGUAGCUUAACUAAAGCCCUUCGCUUACACCGAAAAAACACCUGUUGAACUCAGGUCACUUUGA